rnacentral:rRNA from 1 species
AUGGCCAUGGAGGCUGCACUCGUCAGCGUGGCCACGGGAGUCCUCAAACCGGUCAUAGGGAAGCUGACCGUUCUGCUCGGCAAUGAGUACAAGCGGUUCAAGACAGUUCGCAAGGAGAUCAAGUCUCUCACUAAUGAGCUUGCCGCCAUGGAGGCUUUUCUCCUCAAGAUGUCGGAGGAGGAGGAUCCCGAUUUGCAGGAUAAAGUUUGGAUGAAUGAGGUGCGGGAACUGUCCUAUGACAUGGAGGACGCCAUCGAUGACUUCAUGCAGAGCAUCGGUGACAAAGACGAAAAGCCAGAUGGCUUCAUUGAGAAAAUCAAGAACACACUAGGGAACUUGGGGAAGAUGAAGGCUCGCCGUCGGAUCGGUAAGGAGAUCCAGGAUCUGAAGAAACAAAUCAAAGAGGUGGGUGAGAGGAAUGCAAGGUACAAGGGUCGUGAGACCUUCUCCAAGACGGUCAAUGCGACUGUUGAUCCUAGAGCUCUUGCUAUAUUUGAGCAUGCAUCGAAGCUCGUUGGAAUCGAUAAGCCCAAGGCUGAGAUAAUCAAGCUGUUAACAGAAGAGGAUGUUCGUGCUUCAGAGCAACAACAACAACAACAACCGAAGAUAGUCUCUAUUGUUGGAUCUGGAGGUAUGGGCAAAACAACUCUUGCAAACCAAGUGUAUCAAGAGAUCAAAGGGCAAUUCGAGUGCUGGGCCUUCUUAUCCGUGUCGCGAAGCCCGGACAUGAUGAAUAUUCUGAGGACUAUUCUUAGUGAAGUUAGCGGUCAAGGUUAUUCUAACACGGAAGCAGGGAGUGUACCAAUACUCAUUAGCAAGAUCAAUGACUUCCUACUAGAUAAAAGGUACUUUGUUGUUGUUGACGAUAUAUGGGAUGUGGAUACCUGGGAUAUUAUUAAGUGUGCAUUCCCUGCUACAAGUUCUACCAGUAGAAUAAUCACGACUACUCGUAUAAACAAUGUCGCUCAUUCAUGUUGCUCGUCAUUCAAUGGUUGUGUUUACAAUAUAAGGGCUCUUGAUAUGGUGCACUCAAGACAGUUAUUUUACAGAAGGUUAUUCAGGUCUGAUGAAGAUUGCCCUUCAUACCUUCAAGAAAUUUCUGAGCAGAUAUUGGAAAAAUGCCAUGGGUUACCUUUGGCGAUCAUUGCUAUAUCUGGUUUGUUGGCUAACACAGAAAAAACAGAAGUUCUAUGGAAUCAAGUGAAAGAUUCAAUUGGUCGUGCACUUGAAAGGAAUCCUAGCGUCGAAGGAAUGAUGAAGAUAUUGUCACUUAGUUAUUUUGAUCUGCCUCCUUAUUUAAAAACUUGCCUCUUAUACCUGAGCAUGUAUCUAGAAGAUUCUACUAUUGAGAAGGAGGACCUGAUAAGAAGAUGGGUUGCUGAAGGAUUCAUUCAUAGAGAAGGAAGAUACACGGCAUACGAGUUUGGAGAAAAGUGUUUCAAUGAACUACUCAAUAGGGGUUUGAUCCAACCUGGGGAGUCAGAUAUCUAUCGCGAAGUGAAGAGUUGUCGAGUUCAUGACACAAUUCUUGAUUUCGUCAUAUCCAAGUCUAUAGAAGAGAACUUUGUUACUAUACUUGGGGUUCCCACUCUGACAAUUAGGAACCAAAGCAAAGUUGUUCGCCGACUCUGUGUACAAGGUGUCGAGAAAGGAAAUUCAGCAGUAUUGAUAGAAGAUCUCGUGUUUUCCCAUGUCCGAUCACUUACUAUGGUUAGGGGUCUGUUGGAAAUCCCUUCUUUGGAGGAGUUCAGACAUCUACAUGUUCUUGACUUGAUGGGUUGCUUCGAAUGGGAAGAUCAUCAUCUUGAAAAUAUAGUGAGGUUGUUCCAGCUGAGGUACCUGAACCUCCAAGGUACAAGAAUAAGCAAGCUCCCGGAACAAAUCGGGCGUUUAGGGUGCUUAGAGAUUCUUGACCUAAGACGCACUCAUGUAAGGGAAUUGCCUGCAUCAGUUGUUAAUCUCAGAAAAUUGAUGCAUCUACUUGUUGAGGGUCUUGUUAAAUUUCCUGAUGGGAUUGCAAAGAUGCAAGCACUAGAGACGCUGAAAGAUGUCAAUGCCUCCAUUCAGCCAUUAGACUUCCUGUGCGGCCUUGGUCAACUAAUGAAUUUGCGGAAUCUGCGGAUUCACCUUGAUUUUGAAGUUGAUCCUGACACUGAGGGUAGAAAUAUGGUUGGGGAGGAGCACGAGAAAGCUCUUGUCUCCUCCCUGUGUAAGCUAGGCACCCAGAAUCUCGGCUCCCUGACUAUUUAUGGAUGGGGCAACCUCUUACAUGAGGAAUCUUUGUGCCUGCCUACCCUCAAGGACCUUACUAUCAGUGAUCUUCCGGCCUCCUGGCAGGUUUCGACAUGUAUGGGCUCCCUCAGAAAUCUCCAACGGCUAUGCCUUUCUGUUGAGGUGCUCAAGCAGGGCGACCUCUGCACCCUUGGGGCUUUACCCAGUCUGCUCGUUCUGUAUCUGGUGGGAAAAACAGAGUCAAACGGAAAGCUCAGAAUCACUGGUGAAGUUGGGUUCCGAUUCUUGAAGAUUUUUAUUUAUGCUGGAUGUUGUAAACCAGUAGAUCUGAUGUUUGGGACAGGGUCCAUGCCAAAGCUGGAAAAACUCGAGUUUAAUUAUAUUUGCUUAGUUGAAGCUAACUCUCUGGGCUUUGGAAUUGAGAACCUCCCUUGCCUCACUAGUGUCAAAUGCAUUACGGUUUGGGGUGAUGAUGGCAUUGUUGAAGCCGUGAAGACUGCCAUGGAGAGAGCAGCCAGCGCACAUCUUAACCACCCUAGUCUACUCUUUCAGAGAUUUCGCCCCUGUUAUUCUUGUGAUAUAUCUUUGUGA